rnacentral:piRNA from 1 species
GAACUUAACUUUCGAUUGACUUGCUGA